rnacentral:lncRNA from 1 species
CACGAGAGCAGCGAACUGCUAGUGGUCUGCUGUCAUCAAUGGUCAUGAAGCGCUCAGCUCUCCAUAAGUCACUGGAGGCACGCCAUACUGCGAUGAGCAUUGAGUAGAGCUUGUGAAGGCAUUUUGUGCUCUCGUCUUGGCCAUGGAGGUUCUUGAGAAAAAAUUUUUUUCGCUCGAUUGCCCCCCUUCCUGACGUGCCAAACUGUUGCGUUCUUUCUCCGAUUUGGGAUAGUUGGUCUGAAGCCGACUUGGUGUUGCGUCUGGAUGCGGGCUGAUGGGAUGUCGAGAGAUGAUGUGCCAUCAUCGGAGAAGGUGCACACAGUUAAGGCUGAAGGCGAGAGCAAGGGGUUGCCGGUGGACGGUGGUGCUGGUCUCCUCUCAACGUC